UUCUGUGGUCAUACCACCUGGAAUGUACCCAAUCUUAUCUGAUCUUGGAAACUAAGCAUGAUCAGUCCUGGUAAGUACUUGGAUGGGAGACCUUUCACAUUUUCUGUUGAUGGAAU
rnacentral:rRNA from 1 species